ACCAGACUUGUGCUGGGCGGAUCAUCCAGUGUUCUCACUGGUGCACUCCGCUCGGUUCAGGCCAGCAUCGGUUCUGGGGGGUGCAUAAAGGCCGCAGGAACGUAUCUCUUCGGAGUGUUAUAGCCUGUGGUGUAAUACACCUUCUGGGACCGAGGACCGCGCUCUGCAAGGAUGCUGGCGUAAUGGUCAUCAGCGA
rnacentral:rRNA from 1 species